rnacentral:rRNA from 1 species
AGGACGAACGCUGGCGGCGUGCUUAACACAUGCAAGUCGAGCGGAAAGGCCCUUCGGGGUACUCGAGCGGCGAACGGGUGAGUAACACGUGAGCAACCUGCCCUUAGCUCUGGGAUAGCUCCGGGAAACCGGAAUUAAUACCGGAUAUGACCUAGGCCGACAUCGGCCGCGGUGGAAAGUUUUUCGGCUAGGGAUGGACUCGCGGCCUAUCAGCUAGUUGGUGGGGUAAUGGCCUACCAAGGCGACGACGGGUA